GAAACAUAAGGCAAGCAACUGAAAAGAGAAUAAAGAAAACCAAAUAUGAACAUUGCCACAAACUUGUACUGGAGAGUAAAAAGAAAUAGCUAGAAUACAAAACAGAAUAACUUCUCCAAACGCUACAUCUAGAAUAGAUGUACUCAACGAUGGGAAUCUUCAGUUAAAAUAACUAAAGUUGCUAAUAUGGUUACUUUGUAGGUUCAUUCAAUAUCCUCUUGGGUGUGCCCAACACAAAAGCACCCAGAAGAUGUUUAAGCAUUUGUUGGCAAUCAGCAGUAAAAGACACUAUUAAAACAUUAAUUUGUGUAACUUCUCCAGCAAAAACUUUUUACAUAUUACCCGUCAGAUUUCUUUUU
rnacentral:misc_RNA from 1 species